CCUACGGGAGGCAGCAGUGGGGAAUAUUGCACAAUGGGCGAAAGCCUGAUGCAGCAACGCCGCGUGAAGGAAGAAGGCCUUCGGGUCGUAAACUUCUGUCCGUGGGGAAGAAGAACGGACGGGACCCAAGGAGGAAGCCCCGGCUAACUCCGUGCCAGCAGCCGCGGUAAUACGGAGGGGGCAAGCGUUAUCCGGAAGUAUUGGGCGGAAAGAGUACGUAGGUGGCCACCUAAGCGCAGGGUUUAAGGCAAUGGCUCAACCAUUGUUCGCCCUGCGAACUGGGAUGCUUGAGUGCAGGAGAGGCAAGCGGCAUUCCUCGUGUAGCGGUGCCAUGCGUCGAUAUUAGGAGGAACCCCAGUGGCGACGGCGGCUUUCUGGACUGUACCUGACACUGAGGUACGACCGCGUGGGGAGCACACAGGAUUAGAUACCCUUGUAGUC
rnacentral:rRNA from 1 species